rnacentral:rRNA from 1 species
GAUGAACGCUAGCGGCAGGCUUAAUACAUGCAAGUCGAGGGGCAGCACGAAUAGCAAUAUUUGGUGGCGACCGGCGCACGGGUGCGUAACACGUAUACAAUCUACCUAAAACAGGGGGAUAGCCUUUCGAAAGAGAGAUUAAUACCCCGUAAUAUAUUGAAUGGCAUCAUUUGAUAUUGAAAGCUCCGGCGGUUUUAGAUGAGUAUGCGUCUGAUUAGCUAGUUGGUGAGGUAACGGCUCACCAAGGCGACGAUCAGUAGGGGAUCUGAGAGGACUAACCCCCACACUGGUACUGAGACACGGACCAGACUCCUACGGGAGGCAGCAGUAAGGAAUAUUGGUCAAUGGAGCAACUCUGAACCAGCCAUGCCGCGUGCAGGAUGACGGCCCUAUGGGUUGUAAACUGCUUUUGUACCAGAGAAAACCUAUCUACGUGUAGAUAGCUGAUAGUAUGGUAAGAAUAAGCAUCGGCUAACUUCGUG